GGCUCGGUGGUGUAGUUGGUUAUCACGUCAGUCUAACAGGGCAUCCUGCCUAUUAGUACACUGAAGGUCCCGAGUUCAAACCUCGGCUGAGUCA
rnacentral:tRNA from 1 species